UUGCACCUGGACGGCGGCCUAAACAUGCAAGUCGAACGGAAAGCACAGAGAGCUUGCUCUCGGGUGACGAGUGGCGGACGGGUGAGUAAUGUCUGGGAAACUGCCUGAUGGAGGGGGAUAACUACUGGAAACGGUAGCUAAUACCGCAUAACGUCGCAAGACCAAAGAGGGGGACCUUCGGGCCUCUUGCCAUCAGAUGUGCCCAGAUGGGAUUAGCUAGUAGGUGGGGUAACGGCUCACCUAGGCGACGAUCCCUAGCUGGUCUGAGAGGAUGACCAGCCACACUGGAACUGAGACACGGUCCAGACUCCUACGGGAGGCAGCAGUGGGGAAUAUUGCACAAUGGGCGCAAGCCUGAUGCAGCCAUGCCGCGUGUAUGAAGAAGGCCUUCGGGUUGUAAAGUACUUUCAGCGGGGAGGAAGGUGUUGUGGUUAAUAACCGCAGCAAUUGACGUUACCCGCAGAAGAAGCACCGGCUAACUCCGUGCCAGCCGCCGCGUAAAUACA
rnacentral:rRNA from 1 species